AGGGCUGUACUAAAUGCCAUUUUGGUAAAAAUUUGAUUAGAUUCUCAAAUUUUGAAACGCAUUGGAAACCCUAGCCGUACCAUCACCCUCCCUCUAUCUCCCCCUGACCCCCUCUCCCUCUCUCAACUCUCUCUUUAAUCGCUCUCCUAGCACCACCGACGGGCGCGAUGAGUCACGCAACCACUGUAGUUCCAACAGUUCCGAACUCAAUCCAGGUAUCAUUCGGUGACGUUACUGGACCUUUUUUGGAGCCUAACCAAGUGAAAGAGGAGGGCUGGCUUAGGAUUACUUGAAACUGUUUUGGGAUGCCACCUAAUGAGAGCUGGUAAAGAGAUGACUUCUUCUUCUUAACAGACAGGGACGACUGGCAUUCUUUCAAGAUCUUCUGUAUGUGUGUGUGUAUAUAGAACUUUCUACUAUGGCACAGGCCCUAUGUGGACUUUCUGAUAUAGGAAAUUGCCACCUAUUAAGUGGUAUUUCUCUUUUCCUUUGUUUGUUAAACUCCUAUUCUUUGAGGGUGUUUAGAUUACACUUAGUCUUGAAUCGGUU